AUUGAACGCUGGCGGCAGGCCUAACACAUGCAAGUCGAGCGGAUGAAGGGAGCUUGCUCCUGGAUUCAGCGGCGGACGGGUGAGUAAUGCCUAGGAAUCUGCCUGGUAGUGGGGGAUAACGUCCGGAAACGGGCGCUAAUACCGCAUACGUCCUGAGGGAGAAAGUGGGGGAUCUUCGGACCUCACGCUAUCACAUGAGCCUGGGUCGGAUUAGCUAGUUGGUGGGGUAAAGGCCUACCAAGGCGACGAUCCGUAACUGGUCUGAGAGGAUGAUCAGUCACACUGGAACUGAGACACGGUCCAGACUCCUACGGGAGGCAGCAGUGGGGAAUAUUGGACAAUGGGCGAAAGCCUGAUCCAGCCAUGCCGCGUGUGUGAAGAAGGUCUUCGGAUUGUAAAGCACUUUAAGUUGGGAGGAAGGGCAGUAAGUUAAUACCUUGCUGUUUUGACGUUACCAACAGAAUAAGCACCGGCUAACUUCGUG
rnacentral:rRNA from 1 species